AACUUUAACCAUGGCAAACGCGUGUACACGACCACACUAAUUUUUAUUUUUUAUUUAGGGGUAUUUUCUAUUGUCUCGAUAGAAUACAAUAAUCCGAUUAUUGGUGAGAAUACAAAACACUAUAUACCCACUAUCGAUACAUACCAACGAUCAUUAUUACAUAACAGAACGUGCAGCGAAUUUACUUACUCUAUCCAAGUUUGGUCCAAACCGAAACGUAACCGAGUCAGUUUAAGGAGUCACUGUGUAUAUAAUUGUUUAAUGUAUAGUAUUUAUAAUAUUUGAUUAUAGCUCGGAUGUCACAGAAAAACUCGGUUUUUUCUGACUGUCGAUAAAACUUACGAAAAUCUUUACAAAGCGUUUUUACUUCGAGGCUUCGACCCGUUAAAAUCGAUUUUUAAAUAUCAACCAGUUAUAUCG